AGUCCACGGAACCAGAAGAGUCUCUUCUUUCCUUCGGAAGUAACUCCCCUUGUUCCGACGCGUCCAAGGAACCGGAAUUGUCCGUCCAGGCUUUCAGAAAUAACUCCCAUUUCUCCGUCGCGUCAACGGAACCGGAAGAGUCCCUUCAGGCUACCGGAAGUAGAUCCCCUUGCUCUGUCGGUAAGUCUCAUUGAUUUGAUUUUAACAACACAUUGUUGGCUUGGAUUUUAGAAUAAAAAUGAAAAAAAUGGUGAUA